rnacentral:rRNA from 1 species
UACGUAGGGUGCGAGCGUUGUCCGGAAUUAUUGGGCGUAAAGAGCUUGUAGGCGGUCUGUCGCGUCUGCUGUGAAAAUCCGGGGCUCAACCCCGGACUUGCAGUGGGUACGGGCAGACUAGAGUGUGGUAGGGGAGACUGGAAUUCCUGGUGUAGCGGUGAUAUGCGUAGAUAUCUGGAGGAACACCGGUGGCGAAGGCGGCAUCCUGGACCAACACUGACGCUGAUGAGCGAAAGCCAGGGGAGCAAACGGG